CAAUUUCUUUAUUAUCAAGCAAAAGCAAAGGCAUCAUGUAGUUGGUUGCGUCUUUAAUCCUUCUCAAUUUGUGAAGUUUAGAGUCAUUAAAGUGUCGACAAAAUUCACCAAGAAUAAAUUAACGGUCGUCUAGCGCAUGGUAAAGUUACGGGAGAAAUUUGGCGAUACUUGCGGUUUAUUGAACGUACAACUUCCUACCUUCAUUUCGCGAACUCGGCUACGACAAUGUGAUCUGAUAGAGUCUAUUACUGGCAGUAGUUCAGGAGUGGAUAUGAUCUUGUUGUGAUGUAUUCUAUCGUAACAAAAUAUGAAAAAAAUGAAAAAUAUCCAGCACUGUACAUAGGUAUCUCACCAAUUGCAUCAUAUAUUCAGCAAUACUGAAGGAACGUGAUGAAAUUGUUAUGGAAUGAUUUAAAGACAGACGUAUUGAAAAAAAUAUCGAUCGAAAUCAAAAAUACAUUACGUCUUAAUCUUACCGCAGCAGAAAGAAGAGACAUCGACAACUUAACUCUGUUUCCCAACCAUUCUAAACAAUCACGUACAUCUGGGAUGAGCAAAAUUUGAAAACGAAGCCUGUACAAUGUGAAGUAAGGACACAGGAGUCAAAAUACAUUUCACUUUACCUUAAUCCACUCAAGAAGAAGUUUCAGUACAUCAACAACAUAGUCAAACGAAGUACAUACUGUACAGGCUGUGAGAAGAAAAAAAUACUUUACAAACGUCAGUUGUUAUAAAUGUCAAGCCAUCUCAUCCAUUUUUUCCUUAUCUACGUACGUACGUAUGUAAAUCUUUCAAUCUUACCAUUACAUUAAUAUUUACAUUAAUCAUGUUCAACAUGCACGCGGCUUUCACCUUGUAUCACGUGGCCAUCAUAUUGUUCUUAAAUGGAAACAUUAAAGAUAUAGUAAACUUACACUGACAUUACCAAAGGCAGCAAGAAUCGGAUGAAUGACGCGCUUUGGAAGCUGUUCAAAGGAAAGAAAAUGUAUGUGAGAACAAAAAGAAACUGUGUAAUAAACGAAACUGGGAUUUUCUGUAUAAAUCAAA